GCGGAUAUAACUGAGGAAGGAAGCAAUGUAACUCUAGUGAUAUCGGGCCCAUCACAAGUCGUUUGUCAGCCACCUCCCCAGCUUUGGUUGGCAGCUUGCUGCUGUGAUUAUGGUAGCGUUAGAAGCUAGUGAAGACUCUCACAGAUGAUGUGUGUGAUGCUAGCUGUGAAUGCAAAGAACGGUCGAGAGGUGAUGUUUGGAAUACCGCUCUCCAGCGACACCUGAUUAUCCUCUCUCGCUUUUCAUCUGGCGAUGGUUGGUGCAUCGUUAUGAGGAGGGAGCGAGUUUGGAUAGAAUGAACUUCUCAUGUGUUUAUAGCAGUCUUUUAUAGUGUUGAGGUGGGAGCAAGGGAGAGGGAGGUGGACACUUUGACUAUAAACUGCGUAUCGCAUCAUCUUUUCUCAGCUUUUGAACUCUUAUCAUGGAAAGCAUUAAGAUUUGACCAAAUGGAGAGCGUAUGUUAGUCAACAAACUUGGAAUCAUGAAAUAUAAGAAUAAAUUGCGAAACUAAGAUUGAGAAACUUAAUGGACUUUUUGCAGCGUACAAACUCACUACAUAAUAGGAAACAAAUGAUUGUCUGUAAUAUCUUUGAUGUUUGAAAUUCCGAACACGAUAAUUUUGUGUGGAUUGUGAUCAAUCAAUCAAGAAGGAAGCAUAAUUUUUUUCCUAUGAACUUUAAUAUACAGUAUAUGUACAUACAUGUACACUGUACUUUAUACUAGUGAACAUACUGUGUAAAAAAACAAUCACUGCUUUACUCUCCUCCACAUCAUUCAAGAACUCAGUGAAACCUAACGGGUAGAGCUUUCACAAACAGUACUGUAAAUCGAUCUCUUCUCAGCUGCUUUUGCUGAUGGCGGAGAAGUGUGAGCAUCUCGACGUUGGAUCCAUCCACCAGAUGUUGAAGUACUUUGCGGUCUAUUCAUACCUGGAAUGGUGAUAGUCUUCUUCGGUGUCUCGUUGACGUCGACGCAAGCCGAGGCUCCUUCAGAUGUGAAUCUUUCUGCCGGUGGUGUUGGGAGCAUCCGAGGAGCUGUGCGGUCCGUCUGUGUCCUGGACGUCAUCGUCGAGAUGGACGAUAUAGAGAAAUGAGGUAAUGAUAAUUUGAUGCUUUACUUUCAUUUAUGCACUGGGCAAUAUUUAUAUGUGGGCUGACAUGUAAAAUGUAUAGGCCUACACUGAGCCAAGUGUUUCAUCUCCUUCUCGUCUGUUCGUGAAUGUGUACCCUUUGGAAAAUCAAAAGGCUUUGGAAGCUCCAGCCGUGGAUUUUACACACGCCCGUUUUUCUCUCCUGAUGUGAAGCAAGCGAGGCCGGUAUGUCGGCUGCAGCUUCCGGAAAAAUAUGGAACCGCCUCAAAGAUCGCGUCAACCGCAAUGGGAUCGUGCGACGCAUCAGCAUCAGACGGAGCAGCCGCGUGAAGAAGUAUUCCCUGGACGACGAGGAGCGAGGUCCCGAAGAUGGACCGAUUAGCGAAUGAUGGAUACAAUAGAAGACCAAUCAUUGUCACGCACAGUACCAGCAAGAUACCUUUACGCCAUUUGCGGCCAGCAUCACUGGAAAAGCGAUCAUCGAUCACUCCUACGCCGGGGUGGUUGGCACUAAUUGUGUACACAAAUCAAGGUUAGCAUAAUAUCAACACUGCCUGCGAUGGAGUCAUGGAGUCGUGUUUGUUGCUUUUGCAUACAUCGUCUUGGGCCAGGCUAGUGUCAGUGACAACAAAUAAACCAGCAUUUGUCACUGUAUCCUUUUUAAGAACACAUCAGUCUUGCGUCACAUUUGCCAGUGGGUAUUACUUGUUCAUGUCUGUGUGACGCUGUACUCUGGCUUUCAAAAGACACUGUAUCGUCACAAAAGUUAGGUACUUGGAAGUUCAGUUUUGAUGUGUAUUGCUAUUUUUGCUAUUCCUGGAAGUUGGCAUCGGUACAAUUGCUUCUGAUGGAGGCCAGUAUUUGCAGAAAGAUAGCUUAUUAUUUCAGGUAAUGAUAAAAACAGUGGUGUUGGAACUCUUUCGCAAUCAACAGAGAUGCCUGUACAUGAUUUGAGCAGAACCCAAACUGGAAUGCACAACAGUGGCCACAUCAUGGGCACACUUCAGUGGGAGUGCAGUCAGGUAAAUGCUCUGUAGGGCCUGUUGAGUCCGGCCGAUCCAACCUCACAGGGGGUGCCUCUUCGCAAACAGUCAAACACCUUUGCGGAGAGUUCAGUUCCAGGUGCAACGGUCAAAGGUAAGCAGUUCCCGAGCAAGGAUCCGAAUGCCGCAGGCUGCGAGGGAUGCUUUCAGGCAGUCCUGGUUUCACUUCAGCAGCUUCCCAAUGUGUGAUAACUAAUUAUUUUGUGCUAUUUUAACAUUGGUGAGCACUGUAAAUUAAUGCAAAAACAAUGCAAAGCUUAUUUUCUUUUUAUUCGUUUUAACCCUUUGACUUCUGAACCCUAAUAGUCCCUGUACAUAAAGAACCAACAAGAAUUCCAUUAUCAGUUGUCGAGGGCUAAGUUGUUAUUCACACGUUCAUGU